UGGGGAAUAUUGCGCAAUGGGCGAAAGCCUGACGCAGCAACGCCGCGUGAGUGAUGAAGGCCUUCGGGUUGUAAAGCUCUUUCGGUUGGGAAGAAGGGUGUGCGGGCUAAUAUCCCGUACAUUUGAUGGUACCAAAAGAAGAAGCACCGGCUAACUUCGUGCCAGCAGCCGCGGUAAUACGAAGGGUGCGAGCGUUGUUCGGAAUGACUGGGCGUAAAGGGUUCGUAGGCGGGAAUGCAAGUCAAGUGUGAAAUCCCCGGGCUUAACCUGGGACGUGCAUUUGAAACUGCAUUUCUUGAGUCGAGGAGAGGGUAAUGGAAUUGCUGGUGUAGGAGUGACAUCCGUAGAGAUCAGCAGGAACACCGGAGGCGAAGGCGAUUACCUGGCCGAAGACUGACGC
rnacentral:rRNA from 1 species